rnacentral:rRNA from 1 species
UAGGGAAUCUUCCGCAAUGGGCGAAAGCCUGACGGAGCAACGCCGCGUGAGUGAUGAAGGUCUUCGGAUCGUAAAACUCUGUUAUUAGGGAAGAACAAAUGUGUAAGUAACUAUGCACGUCUUGACGGUACCUAAUCAGAAAGCCACGGCUAACUACGUGCCAGCAGCCGCGGUAAUACGUAGUUGGCAAGCGUUAUCCGGAAUUAUUGGGCGUAAAGCGCGCGUAGGCGGUUUUUUAAGUCUGAUGUGAAAGCCCACGGCUCAACCGUGGAGGGUCAUUGGAAACUGGAAAACUUGAGUGCAGAAGAGGAAAGUGGAAUUCCAUGUGUAGCGGUGAAAUGCGCAGAGAUAUGGAGGAACACCAGUGGCGAAGGCGACGUUCUGGUCUGUAACUGACGCUGAUGUGCGAAAGCGUGGGGAUCAAACAGG